UCAGAUUGCAGGGGGGAAAGAAAGGGUCACAGAGUGGCCAACUAAGGAGGACCCUUGACUCUCGCUCCCCCACCCCCGCUGCCCAGUUGGCAAGAAAGGAUGCUACCAUCAGCACUUCUCCAUCACCCAAAAUGAGGAAAUACUUCACCACAAAAGGAACAAGAGAGGACUCAUCUUUCCGUUAAACAAAAAUAAAGCACAGCUCGAUCAAGCAGUAAACUACCAUACUGAGUCCUGCUGCUGCUGCUGCUGCUGCUCUCGAUGUUUCCUGCCUUUGUUCUGGAAAAUGACAAGCCCGUAUUGUUUUUCAGCUGAGGAAAGAGCAGCACUGCACACACCUUCAGCCAAGCUGCUAGCAUUAAUCACACCAAUCACAUUACCCCAAACCCGUGUGGAUAAAGUGACACCGCCCUGCAGCGAGAGCUGCAAAAAGCGCCAGGCCCAACCAAUUUGGCUAAGCCUUGCACAAUGGCACAAAUGUCCUUCCUUCAGCGAAAAAACGAAGGUUGAAAAUAAGCCUGCCUUCCAGAGGGGGGCCCUGCUGCAGCACUUUGCUGCCGGCAUGUGACAUGAGCGAGGAUUAUUUGCAGGAGUACAUUAAGAGCAGCACUUGAUUACAGCAGUGUCAAGCUGCGCUCAAAGGCUCGGUUCUUUCAGCAGUGGCGGUAAUGACCGUUGCUCGUGUCUCCGAGAGGCAUGCGGCGGUCAACGAGGUCUUCUGUAACGCUUCCAGGUCCAAACCCAGAUGAGGAAGAUGGAGUGCUUGGGACCAGCAAAGAUUCCCCACACUGUCCUGGGCUUGUAUUGCCUUAUGAAGCACCUGAGCCUUACUUUAUUGCUGGAGGAAUUAUCUCCAGAGGUAAAAACAGAGAGAUGCUUUGUCACACCAGCAACAUCUACAAGAACAAAAGCCUGAAAACUGAAUCUAGACAAUAUUACCUGAAGGGCUUUGCAUAAUCUAUUUGCUUUUCACUGCUGAUUUUUAU